rfam:Schistosoma mansoni strain Puerto Rico chromosome 2, complete genome
AUUUAGCUGACAAGUUCCGAAUAGAACGAAACACGCUUCCUGAAU